GGUUAAGCGACUAAGCGUACACGGUGGAUGCCCUGGCAGUCAGAGGCGAUGAAGGACGUGCUAAUCUGCGAAAAGCGUCGGUAAGGUGAUAUGAACCGUUACAGCCGGCGAUGUCCGAAUGGGGAAACCCAGUGCAAUUCGUUGCACUAUCGUUAACUGAAUACAUAGGUUAACGAGGCGAACCGGGGGAACUGAAACAUCUAAGUACCCCGAGGAAAAGAAAUCAACCGAGAUUCCCCCAGUAGCGGCGAGCGAACGGGGAGCAGCCCAGAGUCUGAAUCAGCUUGUGUGUUAGUGGAACGGUCUGGAAAGUCCGACGGUACAGGGUGAUAGUCCCGUACACCAAAAUGCACAGGCUGUGAACUCGAAGAGUAGGGCGGGACACGUGGUAUCCUGUCUGAAUAUGGGGGGACCAUCCUCCAAGGCUAAAUACUCCUGACUGACCGAUAGUGAACCAGUACCGUGAGGGAAAGGCGAAAAGAACCCCGGCGAGGGGAGUGAAAAAGAACCUGAAACCGUGUACGUACAAGCAGUGGGAGCACCUUCGGGUGUGACUGCGUACCUUUUGUAUAAUGGGUCAGCGACUUAUAUUCUGUAGCAAGGUUAACCGUAUAGGGGAGCCGCAGGGAAACCGAGUCUUAACUGGGCGUUAAGUUGCAGGGUAUAGACCCGAAACCCGGUGAUCUAGCCAUGGGCAGGUUGAAGGUUGGGUAACACUAACUGGAGGACCGAACCGACUAAUGUUGAAAAAUUAGCGGAUGACUUGUGGCUGGGGGUGAAAGGCCAAUCAAACCGGGAGAUAGCUGGUUCUCCCCGAAAGCUAUUUAGGUAGCGCCUCGUGAACUCAUCUUCGGGGGUAGAGCACUGUUUCGGCUAGGGGGUCAUCCCGACUUACCAACCCGAUGCAAACUACGAAUACCGAAGAAUGUUAUCACGGGAGACACACGGCGGGUGCUAACGUCCGUCGUGAAGAGGGAAACAACCCAGACCGCCAGCUAAGGUCCCAAAGUCAUGGUUAAGUGGGAAACGAUGUGGGAAGGCACAGACAGCCAGGAUGUUGGCUUAGAAGCAGCCAUCAUUUAAAGAAAGCGUAAUAGCUCACUGGUCGAGUCGGCCUGCGCGGAAGAUGUAACGGGGCUAAACCAUGCACCGAAGCUGCGGCAGCGACACUAUGUGUUGUUGGGUAGGGGAGCGUUCUGUAAGCCUGCGAAGGUGACCUGUGAGGGUUGCUGGAGGUAUCAGAAGUGCGAAUGCUGACAUAAGUAACGAUAAAGCGGGUGAAAAGCCCGCUCGCCGGAAGACCAAGGGUUCCUGUCCAACGUUAAUCGGGGCAGGGUGAGUCGACCCCUAAGGCGAGGCCGAAAGGCGUAGUCGAUGGGAAACAGGUUAAUAUUCCUGUACUUGGUGUUACUGCGAAGGGGGGACGGAGAAGGCUAUGUUAGCCGGGCGACGGUUGUCCCGGUUUAAGCAUGUAGGCUGGUUAUCCAGGCAAAUCCGGAUAAUCAAGGCUGAGGUGUGAUGACGAGGCACUACGGUGCUGAAGUAACAAAUGCCCUGCUUCCAGGAAAAGCCUCUAAGCAUCAGGUAACAUCAAAUCGUACCCCAAACCGACACAGGUGGUCAGGUAGAGAAUACCAAGGCGCUUGAGAGAACUCGGGUGAAGGAACUAGGCAAAAUGGUGCCGUAACUUCGGGAGAAGGCACGCUGGUGUGUAGGUGAAGCCCCUGCGGGUGGAGCUGAGACCAGUCGAAGAUACCAGCUGGCUGCAACUGUUUAUUAAAAACACAGCACUGUGCAAACACGAAAGUGGACGUAUACGGUGUGACGCCUGCCCGGUGCCGGAAGGUUAAUUGAUGGGGUUAUCCGUAAGGAGAAGCUCUUGAUCGAAGCCCCGGUAAACGGCGGCCGUAACUAUAACGGUCCUAAGGUAGCGAAAUUCCUUGUCGGGUAAGUUCCGACCUGCACGAAUGGCGUAAUGAUGGCCAGGCUGUCUCCACCCGAGACUCAGUGAAAUUGAACUCGCUGUGAAGAUGCAGUGUACCCGCGGCAAGACGGAAAGACCCCGUGAACCUUUACUAUAGCUUGACACUGAACAUUGAGCCUUGAUGUGUAGGAUAGGUGGGAGGCUUUGAAGCGUGGACGCCAGUCUGCGUGGAGCCAACCUUGAAAUACCACCCUUUAAUGUUUGAUGUUCUAACGUUGGCCCCUGACCGGGGUUGCGGACAGUGUCUGGUGGGUAGUUUGACUGGGGCGGUCUCCUCCCAAAGCGUAACGGAGGAGCACGAAGGUUAGCUAAUCCUGGUCGGACAUCAGGAGGUUAGUGCAAUGGCAUAAGCUAGCUUGACUGCGAGCGUGACGGCGCGAGCAGGUGCGAAAGCAGGUCAUAGUGAUCCGGUGGUUCUGAAUGGAAGGGCCAUCGCUCAACGGAUAAAAGGUACUCCGGGGAUAACAGGCUGAUACCGCCCAAGAGUUCAUAUCGACGGCGGUGUUUGGCACCUCGAUGUCGGCUCAUCACAUCCUGGGGCUGAAGUAGGUCCCAAGGGUAUGGCUGUUCGCCAUUUAAAGUGGUACGCGAGCUGGGUUUAGAACGUCGUGAGACAGUUCGGUCCCUAUCUGCCGUGGGCGCUGGAGAAUUGAGGGGGGCUGCUCCUAGUACGAGAGGACCGGAGUGGACGCAUCACUGGUGUUCGGGUUGUCAUGCCAAUGGCACUGCCCGGUAGCUAAAUGCGGAAGAGAUAAGUGCUGAAAGCAUCUAAGCACGAAACUUGCCCCGAGAUGAGUUCUCCCUGAGACUUUAAGUCUCCUGAAGGAACGUUAAAGACGAUGACGUUGAUAGGCCGGGUGUGUAAGCGCAGCGAUGCGUUGAGCUAACCGGUACUAAUGAACCGUGAGGCUUAACCUU
rnacentral:rRNA from 1 species